GGACCCCUGCUAAAAAUACUCCAUUUCUCUAUGACUUAGAAAACACUGUUUUUAAAGAAUUAUAAAAAAAGUUCUCCAAUGACACACAGUUUUAUAACUGAGUUUUUUGAACCCCAAAAAAAAAAAUCACCAAUUGAAUGUUUUUGAACCCAACAUUAUUCAAAUCGCAAAAAAAAAAAAAACCGAAACAAAAAGGUUGGCAAACAAGCCCGAGAGGAGUAUACAACAUCGUUGCAAUUCAUAGUCACAGACAAUGAGGAGUAAAAGGGACGAUGAAACCAAAUCUCGCAAUCACAACCGCAUUACAAAAACACUCAACAGGUUAUUAAGAGCUUAAAGAGCCAUGUAAGAAUCUGCUAUUGGUGAGGACCCAAGGACCAGAGAAUUUGGAAGUUAACUGAUAAGUGCUCAAAUGUUGCGCAUUUUAGCACAUAAGUUAAGGUCAAUAAGGUUCAAACAGGCUAAAAACAACCUAUUAAGCCCUUUUUGGAGUAAAGAAGAAAAUCCAAAAAAAGUCAGAAAAACUGCACUGGAGAGUCUUCGAUCGAUCGCAAAAGUUGGCGAUCGUUCGCCGAGAUCCUCGAUCGAUCGAAGCCAAGGCGGUGCUAGCUCAAUGGAUAAGGUUGCCAGCUCAAUGGAUAAGGUUGCCAGAUGUCAAGAUAAUUGUGCCACAUCAUCUUCGAUCGAUCGCCAAAGUCCCCGGUCCAUCGAAGACCCCCUCGAUCGAUCGAAAUCCUGCUGGCAGAGAGCUGUUUAAUUUCCGAGCACGCCCGAAUUCCACCUAACUUUGGGCUGCGAGAUUGCACCAAUUAGAAGGCCAUAUUCUAACUUGGAGACCACACAAAGGAGCUAGUAUUUAAAUCAAAUGGAACCAUUUGUAAAGGGUUACUAAUUUUUGUUAGAAAUUGUUACUCAUUUUUGUUAGAUUAGACAUAGUUUCUCUCUCUAGAGAUUAGGGUUUUUGAGUAAAGAAGACGAGGAAGAAGAUGGAGCUAUAUUUUGGGAUAGCCUUUGAGGGUUCCAAGAUCACAUCCACCUCUCCCAUGAUUGACUAGACUUCUCCUUGGGGCUUAGAUGAGCCCCAAGCUUGUAUUUCUAAACUCUUAUCUUUCUACUUUUUGGGAAAUUAUGUCUUGUAAUUAGUGUUACGGCCUUAUGUAUAUAAUGAAUCUUGGGUUCUUCUUUGAUUCUAUAGAUUUAAUUCUUCCUAGUAA